rnacentral:rRNA from 1 species
GGGUUGUGAGGUUAAGCGACUAAGCGUACACGGUGGAUGCCCUGGCAGUCAGAGGCGAUGAAGGACGUGCUAAUCUGCGAUAAGCGUCGGUAAGGUGAUAUGAACCGUUAUAACCGGCGAUUUCCGAAUGGGGAAACCCAGUGUGAUUCGUCACACUAUCGUUAACUGAAUACAUAGGUUAACGAAGCGAACCGGGGGAACUGAAACAUCUAAGUACCCCGAGGAAA